AGCGCCCUGCCAUGCACGUGACACGCCAGGCAUUUUUGAGCCACAACUCAAAAUGCGGGAGCCCGAAUCUUCGGCGUAGCGGUAGCCCGGCCUCAUGCGGGCAGCGCAAACCCGGAGCUGGGGCGCCCACCUGGAGGUUCCAGGUUCAAAAGCCUCGUGUGAACGGCAUGGGCGGGGCUUUU
rnacentral:other from 1 species